rnacentral:rRNA from 1 species
AUACGGAGGGUGCAAGCGUUAUUCGGAAUCACUGGGCGUAAAGGACGCGUAGGCGGGUUGGCAAGUCAGAUGUGAAAUCCUACAGCUUAACUGUAGAACUGCAUUUGAAACUGCUAACCUAGAGUAUGGGAGGGGGAGAUGGAAUUAGUGGUGUAGGGGUAAAAUCCGUAGAUAUCACUAGGAAUACCGAAAGCGAAGGCGAUCUCCUGGAACAUAACUGACGCUAAGGCGUGAAAGCGUGGGGAGCGAACAGGAUUAGAAACCCUAGUAGUCC